rnacentral:rRNA from 1 species
CCUACGGGAGGCAGCAGUGAGGAAUAUUGGUCAAUGGACGAGAGUCUGAACCAGCCAAGUAGCGUGAAGGAUGACUGCCCUAUGGGUUGUAAACUUCUUUUAUAUGGGAAUAAAAUGUUCCACGUGUGGGAUUUUGUAUGUACCAUAUGAAUAAGGAUCGGCUAACUCCGUGCCAGCAGCCGCGGUAAUACGGAGGAUCCGAGCGUUAUCCGGAUUUAUUGGGUUUAAAGGGAGCGUAGGUGGAUUGAUAAGUCAGUUGUGAAAGUUUGCGGCUUAACCGUAAGAUUGCAGUUGAAACUGGCAGUCUUGAGUACAGUAGAGGUGGGCGGAAUUCGUGGUGUAGCGGUGAAAUGCUUAGAUAUCACGAAGAACUCCGAUUGCGAAGGCAGUUCACUGGACUGCAACUGACACUGAGGCUCGAAAGUAUGGGUAUCAAACAGGAUUAGAUACCCGAGUAGUC